UGGAUAUGGCCUCCUGGACGAGUUCUUAAGACAGAUUCACCUUUCGGAGAGUUUGUUCCUUGCUGAGAGAAGUGAUUUAUCUCAAAAACCUACAUUCUCCCCAUCAUUAACAUAACCAUUUAUAUCAUAUUAAAUCUAACAUCAUCAUAUGCCAAUGGUUUCUUAAUUUAAGUUGCGUAAAUAGUAUGCCCAAAGCAUGGUACAUGGUUUGGUGCAUAUAUAUAUAUAUAU
rnacentral:lncRNA from 1 species